GACGAACGCUGGCGGCGUGCCUAACACAUGCAAGUCGAACGAAAAGGCCCGGCUUUUGUGCGUUGGUCGAGUGGCGAACGGGGGAGUAACACGUGAGUAACCUGUCCUUGACUUUGGGGUAUCUUCAGGAAACUGGGGCUCUUACCGCAUAGGAUCUCUUGCUGCAUGUUGGUCGAUGGUAAGUUUCGGCGGUUGGGGAUGGACUCGCGGCUUAUCAGCCUGUUGGGGGGGUAGUGGCUGACCAAGGCUUUGAAGGGUAGCCUGCCUGAGAGGGUGGACGGCGACACUGGGCCUGAGGUACGACACAGACCGCAACGGUACGCAACGGUGGAGAGUAUUGCAGAGUGGGCGGGAGCAAGAGGUAGAAAUGCCGGGUGCGGGAAGACGGGUUACGGGGUGUAAACCAAUUUCGAAUGAGCCGAAGCGGUAUUGACGGUACCGGGUAAAAAAGCACCGGCUAACUACGUG
rnacentral:rRNA from 1 species